rnacentral:lncRNA from 1 species
UUUUUUUCUUCUGGUUUAGGGCCAGUCACAAACUGCCUGAAUAUAAUUAGGUGUCUUGCAAUUGACGACCUAUACUCAUCUGCCACUAACAAAUGUCUCUUUACAUUUAAAUCAGACAACUUGAAGUCUCUGGUACUUCUGUAGAAAGUUACCAUUCAAAAAGCUACUAGUCAACCCAAAAGCCCAUCAAUGACAGACUGGAUAAAGACACUACGGUACAUACACACCAUGCAAUACUAUACAGCCACAGAAAGAACAAGAUCAUGUCCUUUGCAGGACCAUGGAUGGAGCUGGAGGCCAUUAUCCUUAGCAAAGUAAGGCAGGAACAGAAAACCAAAUACUGCAUGCCCUUGCUUAUAAGUGGAAGCUAAAUGAUGAGAACUCAUGGACACAGAGGGGAACAACUGACACUGGGGCCUCCUUGAGGGUGGAGAGUGGGAGGAGGGAGAGCAACAAAAAACAUAACUAUUAGGUACAAGGCUUAGUACCUGGGUGACGAAAUAAUCUGUAAAAAAACCCCUAUGACAAAAGUUUACUUACAUAACAAACCUGCACAUGUACCCCUGAGCCUAAGAAAGGAAAAACCUUAAAAAAGAAAAAGUAACUAUUUCAACUUAUCCAAUUUAUUCCUUCCCACAAAUAAGAAACUGCAUUUUCUCACUACAAGAGAACUGAAGGACUUUUUUUUUGUUUUUUUUUUUUUAAAUUCAAACCUUACUGCAAGGCUUCUAAUAUAGGAGUGAUUGUUUUAGGAGCAUUUAAUAUUGCAGUAUAAGUUAACCCACUGCUGAUCAGCAUUCAUUUACACAGGGACUUAUACGCCUGUUGCUUACAAAGUAUCAAUUAAUUCCUGGGUUCAUUAACAACUCUUUUUUCUGUGUUUAAAACAGCCUGUCUUCUUAUGUUGCCCAGGCUGGUUUCAAACUCUUGGCUUAAAGCAAUUCUCCAGGCCGGGCGCGGUGGCUCAAGCCUGUAAUCCCAGCACUUUGGGAGGCCGAGACAGGUGGAUCAUGAGGUCAGGAGAUCGAGACCAUCCUGGCUAAUACGGUGAAACCCGUCUCUACUAAAAAAUACAAAAAAACUAGGCGAGGUGGUGAAGCCUGUAGUCCCAGCUACUCCCAGCUACUCGGGAGGCUGAGCCAGGAGAAUGGUGUAAACCCGGGAGGCGGAGCUUGCAGUGAGCUGAGAUCCCGCUACUGCAUUCCAGCCU